UACAGAGGUCUCAAGCGUUGCUCGGAAUCACUGGGCGUAAAGGGUGCGUAGGCGGGUUUUUAAGUCAGGGGUGAAAUCCUGGAGCUCAACUCCAGAACUGCCUUUGAUACUGAGAAUCUUGAGUACGGGAGAGGUGAGUGGAACUGCGAGUGUAGAGGUGAAAUUCGUAGAUAUUCGCAAGAACACCAGUGGCGAAGGCGGCUCACUGGCCCGGUACUGACGCUGAGGUGCGAAAGCGUGGGGAGCAAACAGG
rnacentral:rRNA from 1 species